AAUAAGGUGCCUGAUAAAAGGACUAUUUUGAUAGAAUAGAAUAUGUAAUGAAUUACCCUUAUUA
rnacentral:tRNA from 1 species